UAAGACGAACCGUGCGAACGUUGUUCGGAAUCACUGGGCUUAAAGGGCGCGUAGGCGGGCCACCUUGUCUGGGGUGAAAGCUUCCGGCUUAACCGGAAAAGGGCCUCGGAAACGGGUGGUCUGGAGGGAGGUAGGGGUCCGCGGAACUGCUGGUGGAGCGGUGAAAUGCGUUGAUAUCAGCAGGAACGCCGGUGGCGAAAGCGGCGGACUGGACCUUUUCUGACGCUGAGGCGCGAAAGCCAGGGGAGCAAACGGGAUUAGAUACCCCGGUAGUCCUGGCCCUAAACGAUGGGUACUAGGUAGGGGGCCGUCAUGGGCCCCCUGCCGAAGCAAAAGUGUUAAGUACCCCGCCUGGGGAGUAUGGUCGCAAGGCUG
rnacentral:rRNA from 1 species